CAAAAAGUGAACCGAUCCCUACACUCCUCUUCAACCAAACAACCUCUUCUCCCCGUCACCAUCCACCCUAGCCCCGUCACGUCGCCUCACCGCCACCACACCCGUCGGACCACCGUAUAAAGAACAGACACCAUCUCCCAUCAACCCCAGUCCUUUUUCUUCAAGUGACAGAGCUUUGAACAGCUCGUCCAAGUCGAAUCAACCACCAAAUCGAAAAACACGCAAGUAUCUUUGGGUUUCUAGGCAGAUCUUCCAACAAUCCAUAGGGUAAAGGCUCGUUCCAAUCCGUUGGGGCCUAAAACCAUGGAAAAAACCAUUAGAUUCGGACCUCUAGCUUUCACUUCACCUCUGAAAAAAGUUCUCGGCUGAGCAAAGACCACUUCAAGCGGAUUCCGAGACUCGACGACGAUAAUAGCCUCAGUUCGCUGUCUCGGAGAAGAUUACGUGGCUACGAAUGAUCUUAAGUGAAUUGCAAGACAGGAAGUAAGUUGGAAGUCGAGAAAUUAUCUUCCAGGUGUAUACAGAUGAGUAGAGGAUAUUGCUAGAAGAUGUUCCAGCUAGAUUGGCGAGCUCCAUUUCCUUCCGGAGUGUUAUCGAGUCAGAGUAUCUAUGUUAUGGUAUAUUGAUUUAUGUUAGAGACUUUGCAGACAAAGUCACAUAUAUAGCAUGUCAGUCUUGCAAGCGGCUCUGCAAGCCGAUGUAUCAUUAUGCAUUAUGUUACAAAUUUCAUAUGAUUACAGAUUUUUACUUGAUUUGAGAAAGACGAAAAUAAUUUUUUUGAAAAGCUUUCAUUAGGCAUUUCAUUUCGUGAUUUAAGAGUCCAGUGAGAUUAUGAAAAUAACGAGAACCAGCGGGUUCGCUCGACUCUAAGUAAAGGGUCGGGUGCCCAUCAUGCCCUAUCAGGACUGGGAUGUGACAAAUUGGUAUCAGAGCAGUUCGUCCUAGGGGUUGUCUGCAAAGUCGUGUCCAGUAGAGUCCUGUUUAUGGUGUGAAGCGCGCCACAUUUAUAAACAGGAGGCUACGGGGCAUCUAGGGUGGUUACUCUUCUUUCUCAUCUUAGAUCGUGCCAUAGAGCUAAAUCAUAGGAUAUGAUGUCCCUGAUUCUAAGCCCAAAUGUUUUGAUCAUGAACAAGCAGUUGAUUAUGCCACUACGAGGUAAUUGCUGAGAAUUGAAGUUGUUCAUUUGAAAGGUAUGUUUCCUAUUUUAUUAAUAUGGAUAGACGUUGAUAUAAGAACUUGAGCAAGAUAUUAUGGGUAUUUGUGAUUGCUCUGUGGGGCAUUGGAUGUGUUUUUCUGGGUUGUGUGCAGGAAUGAGGUAGUAUGAAUUAUAGAGGAAACUCUGUCGAAAUUUUUGCAAAUUGAAUUGUUUGCAUGACUAUAGAGAAAGAGUAAAGGGAAAAGGUGAUCAUCAGCCAUUUGGUAAGUCAUGAUUGAAGAAACAAUUAUGGGACCUAUUGGAAACAUAAAGAAAGCUGACAUUAGGAACUCAAAUACAGUAUUACGAUUUAUAAAUUAGAUUGGUUAGUAAGUGAUAACCAAGAGAUAUUGAUAUGGGAAGGAAGUUAACAAGUACGGGAAAGUUUCGCCCUAGAAGUAUAUAUAUAUAUAUACGAGAUCAAGACGGGUUUGUACUCAUAGUGGAAUGUUCUGCAAACUUCUAAGUAGAUACUAUUAAGUGGCAAACUGGAAAAGAGUACUUUAAGAGCAACGGAAAUCUAGGAGGACCUUGAGGACAGAAGUACGAGAAAAUGCGGUUAUAAAUUAAUUAAAAAGAAGUUAUGUGAUUGGCGACUAUGAGAAGAAGUUUAAUAAAUUAAUAAGGUUGGCCAAGGGUAUACAGUGAUGGCAUACGACAGUGGACUUGGGAUAGAGAUACGAUUAUAAAGGAAACAAGACGAAUAUACGAGAAAUGAACAUACAUACGAGCAAGCUAUGCUAUCGUAAAGGGAAAUAAGAAAUGAACGAAGGAAGAAAGAAAAGGGUGUAUUUUACUAAAAUUGCAUGAUGAGAACAAGAAGGAUUAGUUAAGAGAAACCAUGGGACACUAUGAGCUAAAUUAAGAAAAGGACGAAUUGUGAGAAAAUGAGAGAAAGUAUCGACUUUUACUGGUAUGAUAUAAACCCAACUCGGAAUCGAGAACUAAGAGUAAGAGAAAUCUCAAGGGUACUGGGGAAAGGAUGUCUAUGAGCACUUAUAAGUUGAUGGAAAUGCGAUGAAACUAUGAUUGAUGAUAUAUUUCUCGAUACAUAGGCUCGGGUGAAGGGCAAGCUCCGAUGUAAGGAGCUCUUUAAGUGGUGGCAUGCCGGAUAAGGUAUGUAAGGUGUUCGUUUCCUUCUUUCUUUGGCACGAACCCAACUAGAACAUGAACAUGAGUAUUUCAUAACAACUUCACUCCAUUCCUAUGCUACGUAUUUCAGAUCUUAAUGCCUUACUUAUUUGAUUGAUUCUUACCAUAUUAUCAUGUUUAUCAUCAUUAAGCUAAUUCUUUGGAUUCGAUACGAGCUCCAUAAUUCAUUCGGAGGUUAUGACCGUAUGUCACUCUGAAAGGCCAAGAUCAGAUCAUUGACUUCUCAUCCAAAAUCAGCUCCAGGAUCAGGCUUUCCUUCCGCAUCGCGGAAGGAAAGCAGAAGGCCUCAGAAUUUUCCGUUUUUCGUCCGCAUCGCGGAAGGAAAGCAGACGGUCUCAGGACAUUGCGCUUUUUGUCAGCAUCGCGAAAGGAAAGCGGGGUCCUGCACAGUUUUUCUUUCUCGGUCCAGACCAAUAAUGGUAUAUACGUAUGAAUAAAUGUAAUGCACUAUUUUACGGCUGAAGGAGCAUGGUACAGUCGGGCAUAAUAUAAGGAGCCUAACGAAUUCUAAUGUCACGAUUGAUUAAUUAACCUAGGGGACUAUUAGGCAUGAAGGAAGGAAGUGGUUUGAGUUUUGUCCAAUAUGUGUGGACAUCUGACUUGAUACAAGAAUUCAAUUAGCAAAAGAGAAAUAAGUCAAACCAUGCGAUGAUAGUAACUCUGGCAUUAUAUGGACUAGAUAAGUUGAAGGAUCGCUAGGGUCGGCCAAUUGACUACCAAAGACGGUCAAUACUCGAAUGUUACUGGUAUAUGAGGACAUUCUUAGACGAAUUAGAAUAUUCCCUAGUACAUAAGAAAGAAAUGUACCGGCUUGAAGGAGUCAAAAUUCGAGAGGAACUAAUAAAGCAAGGAUGUGCUAAAGAAAAGUGAAAAUAGACUAAAUGCAAGUAUAUUAUGAGACAGACAGGGGAAAGGAGGCAUGACAAGAUAAUGAAGGUUUAGCAAAUCAAAGGAAAUAAGUUUUGUCAAUGCAAUACGGCGUGUCCCGGACUAUGAUUCGAAUUGCUCGUACCAGAGAAAUAUUUUGUUACAAUUAAAUAUGCAGCGAACGUACCCCAAAAAGGUAACGGAGGAAGUGAGAAGGCCUACAAGUUAUCAGGGAUAAGUAUCAGGGACAGACGGGAUUACUAAAGAAAAAUCGCGGCGUUGGAAGAGAUGAGAGUUUAAAAGAGGAAUAUUUAUAGGAAUUUCAAUGAUCGUUAAAAGAAAGAAAGACAGUAUGCCUAUGGAUAGCAUGACAACAGAAGUACCUGAGACUAGAAAAUAUCUCCUGCGUCGUGAAAUCAUAAGUCACCGUUUAUAUUAAAUCGUGAGAGUGUAUGUCAUAGGACCAUAUAAAUAAUCGUCUUGAUAAAAUGGCUAGUAAAAUAGUGUGGAGGUGACAAUAAAUAUUUGAAGAGGAAUGGAAGCUAGUUAAGUCCCAAUUAGCCGCUGCUAUAGGAGAGCCAAGGACUUAAAGAGGGAAGCACACUCGUAUUGAAAGGAAAUUAUGAUUAAGUAAGAUUUUAUUUUAUUCUCCGGCUUAUGAGUCAUUCUGUAAUGAUGUUAAGAAUUGAGGAGAGGAGAUUGGAGGAAAGAUUCAACCACGGAUUUGAAGAUAUUUUGAAUAGUAGACUAGCUGGAGAUAUGAUCAUUAGUAUGUUGUAAGUAUAAUCUUGUGAUAGGGGAUAACAACGAUGAUAAGAAAAUGUUGUAUACAAGAGUAUAAGGAAUGGUGUUGAGGAUUGUUGUAUGGGUCGAAUGGAGUCCCAUUUGAAUAUAGAUCUCUUGGCUAUGUAUUUUUGACGCAUUGGAUGAGUAAUCUGAGGUAAAGUAGUUAACGAGAAUGAUAAACCAUUGGCAAGGAAAUGCUAUUGCAAGCCAUCUAGGCGCUACCAUAGGUAGAACUAUGAUGACAAUACAAGGAAUUAAGCAGUUCGACUAAGGAAUUAAAAAGGAGAUGAGAUAGUAUGUAUGUAAAAUUGAUUAGUACCAAGAGGAAUAAUCUAAAGUAGCACUAGAGAAGCAAGCAAGGAAAAGUUCCGCAGCUAAAAAAAGAAGUUGCCUACUAGUAGAGAAAUAGAGGGCCGCGGAAUAGGAGGGACUAAGUCAACGGAAGGUGAAGUCGUGGAAGUAGAUGAAGACAAGAUCACAGGAAAAGGAUUCAAGGAUAUAACUAAAGGAGAUGGACAUUUAAGGAAUUAAGAGAUCCGCUUGAUUAGUAAAUCGAAAUGACAGAUAAUUUCGUCAAACUACGGGAAAGACUUAUUAUGUGACAAUCGGGCAAAGGUUAAAGGUAGAAGGAGAAACCCAAAGGAAGUGAUCAAAAGAUAUUGCGUUUGAUUAGAUCAAUCGGGUGACAAUGAAAUCUCGUAGAACUAGCAACAUGAUGACUCUUAUUGGAAAAAGGAACAAAUGAAGGUUACAGACAAAAGAAAGAAUGAAAAGAUCCGAAUUCGCUGCAUGACUAAGAAUCUUGGUUAUUUUUCGACAAACUUCUGAAUUCACCCCUAAUUUAUUAGCCGAACUAAGGAUCAGAAACUUUAAGCGUAAACUGAAGGAAAUGAAUUAUUAAAAAGAAGAGGUUUGAGAUGUUUUCGAUAUAAGUACAAGAAUUGCCUUUAGUUAGCCAAGUGCCAGAAGUCCAAUUGAAGGAAAGAGAAAUUAAGCAAGACAUUUCGGUGUUAGACUAGUUAAAAGAUAAAGUACCGAAAAGAUUAAUUCGACUGCUAUAGAAAGCAGAAGAUUCUAAAUGUGAUCAGCCUUGAGGUUAUCUUUAAGGAGGUAAGAAUAAGAAUAAGUCAACUCUGAGGAGAUAAAGGCUUGGCACAUCUGUGAAACGUAAGAAAGAUACGUGGGGAUCGAAGUGGACAAGAAUUUCUGAAUAAAAACAAUAUGAGAUCAAAAUUGGAUAAAAGUAUGUGGUAAGCACGGGAUGAAAGGGCAUACGAGAAUGUAAACAACGAAGGCUAAAGAGACAAUGAAAGCGAUAAAGCAUGGAGAGUAAGUAGACAGACAAAUAAUAAGAAAAGGGAUGACCUUGAGUACAGGCAUAAAUUUUGGCUACAGAAGAGGAAGGAUAAACUGCAUAAUUCGGAUAAGUUCAGCUUUAAAUAAGUAAGUAAGACUGCAAGUAAGUAAAGUAAAUACCGACAAAGACGGGUAAAAACAUUGACAUCUACCUCGGAGCGAACUCUACCUCAAAAUUCGAGGACGAAUGUUUUUGAAGAGGGGGAGAAUGUUACACCCCGCACUUUCAGAGUGUGAGCAUGCCACGUACAUCACCAUAGUAAUGAAGUAUCAGAGACGUCCCAUGAUGUUUUGGAAGGUACAAGCCAUGGGAAGUAUGUAACAAUGAAGUAAAGAAUGAAUUAGGAUCUCGUAAGUCGUAAUCGGGAAAGACUAUUUUGAAACACAAGAACAUGGCCAUUAUCAAGUAUAAUAAAUGAUAAAUAUCGUGUAUGGAGAAUUUUGGACGAUUUCGAGAUCAAGGAAAUUGAAGAAAAUAAGUUUGACGAAAAUUUGAGAAAUGUUGGGCAGAUUUUUAAUCAACUUUGGAGGGGCAUAUCUCCUAGUAUAUUAGGUGUUUUAAGGUGUUUCAAAAGCCAAAAAUGAAAUUCGUCGAGUCUAGUUUCUAAUGCAACAAAUCUCUCGUCGAUAGGACAUCGGAGUAGAGAAUUAUAGACGUUACAAACUGAGCUGACAAAGCAGAAAACAGGGAUGCUACAAUACCGCUACAGUACUGCUACAGUGCAGCCGACCUUAGCUACUAUAAAAGGGGUUAAAACCCCAUUUUUCAUCAUCAAAAUUGUCCAAAACCUUCCAGAAAAUUCAGCAACAAAAAGGGUCUUAAAUCUCACAUAGAGGUGAGGGUCUUGAGCAAAAUUCAAGCUACGGAAUACUAAUCGAAGUCCGGACAACGUGUAGACGAGAUUAUGAUUUCAUUUUUGUGUUGGAGUAGCUUGGGAACAAGUAAAUAUUGAAGAUCUUGUUACUUUAGCAAAUAUAAGGUAUGAAUCAUUGAAUUUCUUUCUUUAUCAACAUUGAUUAAGGAAUAAUUGCAAGAAUAAAAGUUAUAGUUGUUGUGUUGGUGUUGUUGGCUUAUGGAUUGAGGGUUGAAGAGAAUUUUGGAUAAAAAUACAUAUAUUUAUCUUGUAUGGUGUUGGUAUUGUUGUUGUUGAUUGGUUGUUGAUAUUAUGAUUUCGGGCUAGGCAUAUAAACAGGGGAGAUGCUGCCCGAAUUUCGACAGAAUCAAAUAGGAUUUUAAUUAAGGGCUUAAGACGAGCGUAUGAUGAUGAUCCUAACAACAGUAUGAAUUGUUUUAUAUGUAGAUUACGUGGCUACGAAUGAUCUUAAGUGAAUUGCAAGAUAGGAAGUAAGUUGGAAGUCGAGAAAUUAUCUUCCAGGUAUGUUAAGGCUAGUCCCCUUCUUUCUAAAAGCAUGAUCCUUUCGUUAUAAACCUUUGUGUCGUACCCAUAAUAUCAUUGGUUCCGCAAAUGCUAGAAGUCCACGAAUUUCGUGAUCCUUAUGAUCUUAUUGAGCUUCUAAAGGCAUGAUUAUUUUUCUACCAAACCAUGCAUGAAUUCCAUAAAAAAAUUCAUUUCCAAGAAUGUUAGAGAUUUAUGACUCUUAAAGUUUUAUGAUGGAAAAGAUGAAUAAUUUUUUUUUUCUGAUAACCAUGAUGAUGAUUAUGAGGGAUUUAUUUAUCCAAGCUCCAAGGCAUACUGAUUUCAUGUUAUUAUGAGAUGAUUUUAUUCAUAGAGAUUUCCAUGUACAUGAACUUUAUAUUAUUAUGAGGUGAUUGAGCUUACUUUGUAAUUUCUUAAUUUCCUUCAUUGUUGGUAAUCUCACCUUAUGACCCUUGUUCCUUCAAGGUGGGAUAAACGAUGAUGAUUGAUCCAUAAUAUAAUCGGAGGCUACCGACCUUACGUCACUCCGAUAUAGUCAUGGAUUUUGAUUGGGCUCUUAUGCAUGCUUUAUAUAUAUCUGUGUAUGUAUUUUCUCACACCGCGCCGCGCUAUAGUCGGCCGGGCAUGACACAUAGAUGUGCAUACCACUGCAGUGGGCAUGUUAUGAUAUUGCCCCGGACGCGGGAGGCCGGACGCGGGAUAAGGAUGAUAACACUGAUCCUUAAUGGUCGGGCAUGAUACUAUAUAUAUAUGACACCGAGCAUUAAUGGUCGGGCAUGGUACUGUGUAUAUGUAUAGAAAUGUUUUUUUUAAGGCUAAGCAUGCAUGACGUCCGCCUUAUGAGGCAUUCAGAUAUACAGGUGUAUACAAAUGAGUAGAAGAUAUUGCUAGAAGAUGUUCUAGCUGGAUUGACGAGCUCCAUUUCCUUCCUGAGUGUUUCCGAGUCAGAUUAUCUAUGUUAUGGUAUAUUGAUUUAUGUUAGAGACUUUGCAGACAGAGUCACAUAUAUAGCAUGUCAGUCUUGCAAGCGGCUCUGCAAGCCGAUGCAUCAUUAUGCAUUAUGUUACAAAUUUCAUAUGAUUACAGAUUUUUACUUGAUUUGAGAAAGACGAAAAGAAUGUUUUUGAAAAGCUUUUAUUAUGCAUUUCAUUUCGUGAUUUAA